UUCAAAGCCAUUUCUCAUUAGAAAAAUGAGGUUUCGAUUCAAACAGCCAUCGCUACUCUCCCGGUCAAGCCUCCUACCUCAGGCCGCGGCUUCUUCUUCUUCUUCAUCGCGCGCUACCUCUCAAUCUCCUCCGAUUCCUCAAAAGUUCUGUUCAGUAAACUACACACUAACAGACGCAUAAACAAGGAGUUUUUGUUUUCCUGAUUUACUCCUUUCGGAAGUUGAACUUGUCGGUUUUUUUUUUUCGAUGUUAGGUGUUCGUUUGGAAUAGCAUUUGAUAUAGAUGGAGUCAUUCUCCGUGGCCGGACUCCAUUUGGAAACUCUCCCCAAGCUCUCCGGAGAUUGUACCACGAUUCCGGCAACCUGGAGAUUCCCUUUUUGUUUUUGACAAAUGGAGGUGGCACCCCAGAGUCCAGAAGAGCCGCUGAGUUGAGUGAACUUCUUGGAGUGAAAAUAUUACCUUCU